rnacentral:rRNA from 1 species
GAGACAGCAGUCGCCGCGGGAAUACGUAGGGUGCAAGCGUUAAUCGGAAUUACUGGGCGUAAAGCGUGCGCAGGCGGUUUGUUAAGACAGAUGUGAGAUCCCCGGGCUCAACCUGGGAACUGCAUUUGUGACUGGCAAGCUAGAGUCUGGCAGAGGGGGGUGGAAUUCCGCGUGUAGCAGUGAAAUGCGUAGAUAUGCGGAGGAACACCGAUGGCGAAGGCAGCCCCCUGGGCCAACACUGACGCUCAUGCACGAAAGCGUGGGGAGCAAACAGGAUUAGAUACCCCCGUAGUCCCUGUCUCUUAUAC